rnacentral:lncRNA from 1 species
AUGCACACACAGACAGAGACAGACAGACACAAAGACAGACAUAUACACGCACAGACAGAGACACACAGAGAUACAGAGAGACAGAGACGCAGACAGACACAGAGACACAGACACAGACACACAGACAGACAUAUACACACAGAGAGACACACAGACAUAGAGACACAAAGACAGAGACACACAGACAGACACAGAGACACACACAGAUACACAGAGGCAGACAGAGACAGACACACAGACACACAGAUAUAUACACACACAGAGACACACAGACUGACACAAAGACAGACACACAGACAGAUGCAGACAGACACACACACACAGAGGGACAGACAGACACACAGAGACAGACAGACACAGAGACAUACAGACAGAGACACAGAGACACAAAGAGACAGACAGAGACACACAGACAGACACAGACAGACACACAGAGAGACAGAGAUACACAGACACAGAGACACACAGACACACACACAGACAGACACACACACAGAUAGACACACAGACACAGACAGACGGAGACACACAGACACACGGAGACACACAGACAGGCACGCAGACAUAGACAGAUGGGCACACAGACGGGCACACAGACAGACACAGAGACAGACACACAGUCACACAGAGACAGACCCAUACACACACACAAAGACAGACAGACACACACACACACACACAGAGACACACAGAGACAGACACAGAGACACACAGACAGACGUGAGACACACAGACAUGAGACACAGACACACACACAGACAUGCAGAGACACACACACAAAGACAGACUCAGAGACACACACAGGGAGACGCAGAGGAGAUGGGGACGCACAGACAGACACAGAUGCACAGACAGACACAGACAGAGACACACAGAAACACACAGAGACACAUGGAGACAGACAUACACAGAGACAGACACACAAAGACACAGAGACACACAGACAUAGACAGACAUAUGGAGACACACAGACAUAGACAGACAUACGGAGACACACAGACAGACACAGAGACACACACAGAGACAUAG